CCUACGGGUGGCAGCAGUGGGGAAUAUUGCACAAUGGCGGAAACCCUGAUGCAGCGACGUCGCGUGAGUGAUGAAGUAAUUCUUUAUGUAAAGCUCUAUCUGCAGGGAAGAAAAUGACGGUACCUGAGUAAGAAUCCCCGGCUAACUACGUGCCAGCAGCCGCGGUAAUAAGGCGGGGGCAAGCGUUAUCCGGAUUUACUGGGUGUAAAGGGAGCGUAGACGGCAGUGCAAGUCUGGAGUGAAAGGCGGGGGCUCAACCCCCGGACUGCUCUGGAAACUGUACGGCUGGAGUGCAGGAGAGGUAAGUGGAAUUCCUAGUGUAGCGGUGAAAUGCGUAGAUAUUAGGAGGAACACCAGUGGCGAAGGCGGCUUACUGGACUGUAACUGACGUUGAGGCUCGAAAGCGUGGGGAGCAAACAGGAUUAGAUACCCUUGUAGUC
rnacentral:rRNA from 1 species